GACCAAGGGAAAGCUGGGACAAAAGAGAGGUUCACACGGAGAGAUGUCAGCGAUUCGGGCCAAACAACCAAUGACCAAGGGAAGACUGGGACAAAAGAGAGGCUCACACGGUGACAAAGGAACAAAAAGGUAUUGGUCGACAAUAGAGGUGGAUGCAGUUGAAGAUUCCUUGAUGAACUUUAUCCGAAUGGGGAAAAAUGCCUGGAAAACAAGACUGUGAGAAAUGCAUUGCUGCUUCUCCCCAAGCGCUUUUAAACAGGGACUGGAGAGCAGUACAGUUCUAUAGACACAACAGAAUAGUUGCAGAUCAGAGAAAAUAAGUGUAUGAGAUGCUUCUGGCUAUCUCAUAGGCAGAUGACAAAUGUCGUCUAUCUCACUGUUCAGGGGAAGUUUUUCCUGGUGGAUGGUUCACGAGGUGAGAUCUUGCAUGGAGCCCCAGAUCGAGGGUGAU